GAUCCUGGCUCAGGAUGAACGCUAGCGGCAGGCUUAACACAUGCAAGUCGAGGGGCAGCGGGAUGUAGCAAUACAUUGCCGGCGACCGGCGGAUGGGUGCGUAACGCGUAUGCAACCUACCUUAUACAGGGGAAUAACCUUUCGAAAGGGAGACUAACACCCCAUGGUAUUGAUUUAAGGCAUCUUAGAUUAAUUAAAUAUUUAUAGGUAUAAGAUGGGCAUGCGUAUGAUUAGCUAGUUGGUAAGGUAACGGCUUACCAAGGCGACGAUCAUUAGGGGUUCUGAGAGGAAGGUCCCCCACACUGGUACUGAGACACGGACCAGACUCCUACGGGAGGCAGCAGUGAGGAAUAUUGGUCAAUGGGCGCAAGCCUGAACCAGCCAUGCCGCGUGCAAGGAAGACGGCCUUAUGGGUUGUAAACUGCUUUUACAUAAGACUAACCGUAUAUUUGCGAAUAUACCUGAAUGUAUUAUGAGAAUAAGGAUCGGCUAACUCCGUGCCAGCCGCCGC
rnacentral:rRNA from 1 species